UNUGACUUGAGUGCAGAAGGGGAGAGUGGAAUUCCAUGUGUAGCGGUGAAAUGCGUAGAUAUAUGGAGGAACACCAGUGGCGAAAGCGGCUCUCUGNUCUGUCACUGACGCUGAGGCUCGAAAGCGUGGGUAGCGAACAGGAUUAGAUACCCUGGUAGUNCACGCCGUAAACGAUGAGUGCUAGGUGUUAGGCCCNUUCCGGGGCUUAGUGCCGGAGCUAACGCAAUAAGCACUCCGCCUGGGGAGUACGACCGCAAGGUUGAAACUCAAAGGAAUUGACGGGGGCCCGCACAAGCGGUGGAGCAUGUGGUUUAAUUCGAAGCAACGCGAAGAACCUUACCAGGUCUUGACAUCCCGAUGCUAUUCUUAGAGAUAGGAAGUUACUUCGGUACAUCGGAGACAGGUGGUGCAUGGUUGUCGUCAGCUCGUGUCGUGAGAUGUUGGGUUAAGUCCCGCAACGAGCGCAACCCUUAUUGUUAGUUGCCAUCAUUAAGUUGGGCACUCUAGCGAGACUGCCGGUAAUAAACCGGAGGAAGGUGGGGAUGACGUCAAAUCAUCAUGCCCCUUAUGACCUGGGCUACACACGUGCUACAAUGGUCGGUACAACGAGUUGCGAGCCGGUGACGGCAAGCUAAUCUCUGAAAGCCGAUCUCAGUUCGGAUUGGAGGCUGCAACUCGCCUCCAUGAAGUCGGAAUCGCUAGUAAUCGCGGAUCAGCACGCCGCGGUGAAUACGUUCCCGGGCCUUGUACACACCGCCCGUCACACCACGAGAGUUUGUAACACCCGA
rnacentral:rRNA from 1 species